AGGGUUGUGGUGCACUUCAAAACUUUGCAUCACAAUCUUACAGUAUUUCUCCAAUCGGCAUUCAGUACUGGAAACAAUCGGAAGGCGCGGGGUACGAGGACUCCAGUUCUGUUCAGGAGCGAGCGGACGAUGCAGUGCCUCCUGGUGGUUACUACAAGUACGUGUGGGACAUUUCUCCCAACUCCGGGCCAACCACAUCAGAUCCAGACUGUCUCACCUACAUCUACUCAUCACAGGUGGACAUCGUCCGAGACUUCAACAGCGGACUCGUCGGGACUCUUCUGAUCUGUAAAACAGAGGCUCUGACCGAGGAGAGACAGCGGAAGGUUCCCGAGUUCAUCUUGCUUUU